rnacentral:misc_RNA from 1 species
GAUGAAGAACGUAGCGAAAUGCGAUACGUAAUGUGAAUUGCAGAAUUCAGUGAAUCAUCGAGUCUUUGAACGCACAUUGCGCCAUCUGGUAUUCCGGAGGGCAUGCCUGUCCGAGCGUCAUUGCUGCCCUCAAGCACGGCUUGUGUGUUGGGCCCCGCCCCCCGAUCCCGGGGGGCGGGCCCGAAAGGCAGCGGCGGCACCGCGUCCGGUCCUCGAGCGUAUGGGGCUUUGUCACCCGCUCUGUAGGCCCGGCCGGCGCUUGCCGAUCAACCAAACUUUUUUCCAGGUUGACCUCGGAUCAGGUAGGGAUACCCGCUGAACUUAAGCAUAUCAAUAAGCGGAGGA